rnacentral:rRNA from 1 species
UACGAAGGGGGCGAGCGUUGUUCGGAUUUACUGGGCGUAAAGAGCGCGCAGGCGGCUGGUCAAGUCCGAUGUGAAAGCUCCCGGCUUAACUGGGAAAUUGCAUCGGAAACUGAUCGGCUGGAAGGUGGGAGAGGGUAGCGGAAUUCCCGGUGUAGUGGUGAAAUGCGUAGAUAUCGGGAGGAACACCAGUGGCGAAGGCGGCGACCUGGGCCAAUACUGACGCUGAGGUGCGAAAGCGUGGGGAGCAAACAGG